CUUAAUUUCUUAUCAGAAAUAAUGACAAAUUAUUUUUCCAAUUUUUGUUUUGGUUGAAUUUUUAAAUUGGGUACCCUUAAAUAAACAUUGCUAGAGAGUGGAAGAUCCAUUUAAGGUACACUAGUAUCUUCAUUGGCAUCUUAUUUUUUGCUGAUAACUAUUUUUAAGAUCAACUGGCUCACAUGGUGCUUUGUUAGUGAAGUCAAAGCUCAGAAUGACAAGUAGUCCAGUUUACACAUCAGAAUGGCUUCCAUGGUGCUUUGUUAGUGAAGGCAAAAAUCGGGUUCCUCUUCCUGAUCAGAAUGAUUUAUUUAACCUUGAUCAAAGCUGGUCUGGGUAUUUUAAACACAAUUUUCUUAUCAUUCAGUUUUAUGUGGUUGAUUUGGAGGUAACUUUUUAUCUCCUCAGUGGAGAUAUUCAAUAUCUAUGUAGUUUCAGUAUUCCAUAUCGUGCUGACUUUUAAGUUUUCUGAUUUCUUGUCGAGGUGUUGCUAAGCUUAUAGUUAACAGUCCAUGUAAGGAUGAGUAUCCAAUUUUAAUAUAUAUAUCAUCUUUCUUCACAUGAUCGUUCAGUACUGAGUACUGUCUUUAUUGUAGCCGGUUCUGUUUUACUAAAUAUGAACCAUAUUAUAUCUAAUAUGGGAAGUUGUUUUUUUCUAUAGAUGCGGGAUAUAACAAGUUUAAAGUUAUUAAUAGACUACGGCUUUGUUGAUGAAGAUAAUUCUUAUGGUUACAUUUUAUUGAGGCAUCCUAAACACCAAAGAUCCUCAAUACCAUGAUAAGGUAUGGGCGCUCAACCAAAUGAAAAACUGGUUAAUGGAUAUACAAGUCUAACGGGUUACCAAAAGAUGACACACAUCUUGACAUCUUUAACUGGUGAAAAAGUGAUUGUCAUUCCGGAGAGAGGCUGUAUUUUGCGUUUGACUAUGUUAAUUUGUUAGAAAGGACCACUUUGCGUGUGGAAGUGAAAGAUACUUGCAUAAACUUUGAGCUAGGAAGCGGAUACCACCACAUGUCAAGUUUGUACUGGAGAACCCGAAAGGGGUAUUCUACUGAGAGUUUUCCUUUAAGGGAGGCUUGGGACUGGAAAUACAUAACUUCAAAAGCAUUGGCACGCUCAUUAUGCUGACAUUAAAAAUCCUUUCAAGAAGAAACUGUCCCUGAAGUAAGCCUACCUGCUAAAUGCUAAACUUUCAGGUCCGUGAAGUAAUCAAACUUCGAAUGACACUUAAUUCCUUGGAAAGAAAAGUUUGUAUUUCUGAAGGUACCACUUUUGGCCACAUGCUGAUGUUCCAUUUUCUUUGGUAAUCCUGGCACACGUCAAGUGGAAGUCACCGGUUUUGACUUUACCAGUGUAUUAGUACGUACUAUAUCUUCGCUCGAAGGUUCGCAAGAUAACAUCAGUGCUGCCAUCAUGAUUGUUUUUUGUUUUGUAUAGCUGGAAUAAGAGAAAACUAUUAAACAUUUCUAUAGGUGUCACUGAACGGUUUAUGCAUCUUACAAUGCUUGCUUAAGCUUUUGUGAUUGGCUUCGAUGAAGAUUUAGAAAUUUCAAUGAAACAUAAGACCUUGUAUUGUAAAUUGACUUGUACUUUUUUUUUUGCACGC